UAUCAAUUUGAGCAACCAUAAAUGACGUAAAACAUACAGAGUUUUUGAUAGGAUUCCUAUAUAGAAAAAUCACUCUCUGCCCUCCAGACUCAUGUGCAAACAACCUAUUCAAGGAGUUGUUGAUGAGAAGUUGGAACAUUUGUUUUGGCAAGUUCUACAGACAUUUUUUCCAAACAUUUGCCUUUUUGUCGUUUUCCCCCCUGAGAGACUGUUUGUGAGCAGUGAAAAUCGGUUGUUUAAAGUUUAAACGACGGAACGUUUUUCUCCGGUUAGCUAGUGUUGUCUCUCGCGUGCGGUGGACAGCACCGUGCAUGAACCCCUGAUCGGCGAGUUCAACGUGCGUUAUUUCGCACCCUCUAUUGUUUCUUUUUCACUCGAGGAGCUGUUGUUGGGCGUGGAAACUUUGUUUGAACCUCUGGCCGUCGGCGAGCACCGCGCCCGCGCUUCCAGCGGAGGAGAGAGGAUGAAGCGCGAAAAUGGUCAAGAAGAGAUGCCUUGGAUUGGAAGUAAAAGUUGUCAACGACGAGCCUGACAUCAGCCUGAUGGUACUUCAAUGGCCAGCUCUUUCUACAGUAAACCAGGUUGCAGCUGACAAGGACUCAUACAGGCAAACUCCAGUGAGGAUCCUCUGUGUUGAUCUAUAAAGUGCUCAGCUAAACCCAUCUAGAGUGAGGAUCGUCUUGGAAGGAUGUUUGGUGAUGGAUGAACUGACCAACCUCAGGACUUCUGUGUCCUUUUUCGGACUGAUUUAUGCCCUGCAACUCGACUACCCACAACUGUAUGAAAAAUACUUUAUAUAUUAUUCAGCAGGUAAUGCUCAACCUAGGAAAAUGUGAGCUGGCACCUAAAAUGGAAUACUGCCAAUAUUGUGAACUCAGGAGUGUAAACAAACCAUAUAGUUUUGAUGCAAUUUGUUGUGAUUCUGAGAUAGACUAUUCAUGUGCUUAACAAUAAGAUGAUUUGUUAAAACUAGGUUUUUUCACGUUUUAUAAGGAAAUGUUUUCAGGACAUGAAAUUUUGUUGUAUUUGGAAUUGAAUUAA